rnacentral:rRNA from 1 species
UACGAAGGGGGCUAGCGUUGCUCGGAAUCACUGGGCGUAAAGCGCACGUAGGCGGGUUGUUAAGUCGGGGGUGAAAUCCUGGAGCUCAACUCCAGAACUGCCUUCGAUACUGGCGACCUUGAGUCCGGGAGAGGUGAGUGGAACUCCGAGUGUAGAGGUGAAAUUCGUAGAUAUUCGCAAGAACACCAGUGGCGAAGGCGGCUCACUGGUCCGGUACUGACGCUGAGGUGCGAAAGCGUGGGGAGCAAACAGG